GGGGACUGCAGGUGGAGUCCCUCGAGGCUGGCACCCACACCCUGCUGCACCCCAAGGCCACGCUGACAGGAGCAGAGCACCCAACCAUGCACCAGCCCAACCAGCCUUUUGCAGGAGGGUGCUUUUCAUCAAAGGAGAAGCAAAGGAGAUUUCCUGAAGCCUGACCCACAGGGCACUGCAGGAUCAACGUGGGUCCCAGGGGAGUUUGCAUCUUCAGCAAUAAAUUGUGAUGGAUCUGCCUCUUGUAGCUGCCUAUGGCACCUCCACGUCUUUGUAACACUGAUAAUAAUCAUGAUUGGGGGGGGAAAUAACAUGAAAUAAAGAAGAUGAUGAAAAAGUUAA